GUGUGCUCUUCCGAUCGGGGAAGAAGCACACUUGAAGAGCGCAGGUACAACGGGGAGUUGUAUGCUGCGUUCGGGAAGGAUGAAUCGCUCCCGAAAAGGAGUCUAUUGAUUCUCUCCCAAUUGGUUGGAUCGUAGGGGCGAUGAUUUACUUCAUGGGCGAGGUCUCUGGUUCAAGUCCAGGAUGGCCCAGCCGCGCCAGGGAAAAGAAUAGAAGAAGCAUCUGACUCUUUCAUGCAUACUCCACUUGGCUCGGGGGGGAUAUAGCUCAGUUGGUAGAGCUCCCCUCUUGCAAUUGGGUCGUUGCGAUUACGGGUUGGCUGUCUAAUUGUCCAGGCGGUAAU